rnacentral:rRNA from 1 species
UGGUGGGUAGUUUGACUGGGGCGGUCUCCUCCCAAAGCGUAACGGAGGAGCACGAAGGUUAGCUAAUCCUGGUCGGACAUCAGGAGGUUAGUGCAAUGGCAUAAGCUAGCUUGACUGCGAGCGUGACGGCGCGAGCAGGUGCGAAAGCAGGUCAUAGUGAUCCGGUGGUUCUGAAUGGAAGGGCCAUCGCUCAACGGAUAAAAGGUACUCCGGGGAUAACAGGCUGAUACCGCCCAAGAGUUCAUAUCGACGGCGGUGUUUGGCACCUCGAUGUCGGCUCAUCACAUCCUGGGGCUGAAGUAGGUCCCAAGGGUAUGGCUGUUCGCCAUUUAAAGUGGUACGCGAGCUGGGUUUAGAACGUCGUGAGACAGUUCGGUCCCUAUCUGCCGUGGGCGCUGGAGAAUUGAGGGGGGCUGCUCCUAGUACGAGAGGACCGGAGUGGACG